rnacentral:rRNA from 1 species
GACGAACGCUGGCGGCGUGCCUAAUGCAUGCAAGUCGAACGCACAGUUUAUACCGUAGCUUGCUACACCAUAGACUGUGAGUUGCGAACGGGUGAGUAACGCGUAGGUAACCUGCCUGGUAGCGGGGGAUAACUAUUGGAAACGAUAGCUAAUACCGCAUAAUAUUAAUUAUUGCAUGAUAAUUAAUUGAAAGGUGCAAUUGCACCACUACCAGAUGGACCUGCGUUGUAUUAGCUAGUAGGUGAGGUAACGGCUCACCUAGGCGACGAUACAUAGCCGACCUGAGAGGGUGAUCGGCCACACUGGGACUGAGACACGGCCCAGACUCCUACGGGAGGCAGCAGUAGGGAAUCUUCGGCAAUGGACGAAAGUCUGACCGAGCAACGCCGCGUGAGUGAAGAAGGUUUUCGGAUCGUAAAGCUCUGUUGUAAGAGAAGAACGGGUGUGAGAGUGGAAAGUUCACACUGUGACGGUAUCUUACCAGAAAGGGACGGCUAACUACGUG